AAAGUCGUAACAAGGUCUCCGUUGGUGAACCAGCGGAGGGAUCAUUACAGAGUAUCAUACUCACCAAAACCAUUGUUUAUCUACCUACAUUGGCUUCUCCGGCAGGAGGUUCCAGGGCGGGACCGAGCCUAACAGCACCUGCCGAAGGGGCAACCCACUGCUCUAUAUUAUACUGUCUGAGUACCAAAAAAACAAAAUAUCAAAAUUUUCAAUUGUGGAUCUCUUGGUUCUG
rnacentral:misc_RNA from 1 species